GCCUUUGUGGUUUAGUGGUGAGCACGUUCGACGCGAAUUCGAGAGGUCCGUGGUUCGAGUCCCGGCGAGGGCA
rfam:Stegodyphus mimosarum contig114756, whole genome shotgun sequence.